GACAGAGGUCCCGAGCGUUAGGCGGAAUCACUGGGCUUAAAGCGUGUGUAGGCGGAUUUGUAAGUACCUUGUGAAAUCCCCCGGCUCAACCGGGGAACUGCGCGGGAAACUGCGGGGCUUGAGUUCGGGAGAGGGAAGCGGAAUUCCGGGUGUAGCGGUGAAAUGCGUAGAUAUCCGGAGGAACACCGGUGGCGAAGGCGGCUUCCUGGACCGACACUGACGCUGAGGCGCGAAAGCUAGGGGAGCAAACGGG
rnacentral:rRNA from 1 species